UACGUAGGGUCCGAGCGUUGUCCGGAAUUAUUGGGCGUAAAGAGCUCGUAGGCGGUGUGUCGCGUCGGCCGUGAAAACCUGGGGCUUAACUCUGGGCGUGCGGUCGAUACGGGCAUCACUAGAGUUCGGCAGGGGAGACUGGAAUUCCUGGUGUAGCGGUGAAAUGCGCAGAUAUCAGGAGGAACACCGGUGGCGAAGGCGGGUCUCUGGGCCGAUACUGACGCUGAGGAGCGAAAGCAUGGGUAGCGAACAGG
rnacentral:rRNA from 1 species